AUGUGGCUCGUGGUGCACCGUCGUUGCCUUACGGCGGACAAUCUGCAGAAAAGGAAUUGGCCUUCCAACGGAGUCUGCCCCUUGUGUCUUCAAGCGCCGGAAGACUGCACCCACUUGUUUCUCCACUGCCGUUUUACACAACAAGUUUGGGCGCGCUUCAGAUCUUGGACCGGCGCCGAUUUCCUUAUCCCCGAUAACACCUUUGCCUCCACUCGGGAGUGGUGGUUGCAGACCAGGGCUGUCAUUCCCAAGCACAUCCGAAGGAAUUUUGACACGGUGGUGAUCUUGAUGCAUUGGAGGAUAUGGAAAGAAAGAAACUCCAGGAUCUUUGACCAGGUGGCAGCUUCGCCGUCCGGCGUUCUGGAGCGGGUAGUAGAAGAUGUGGCCAUGUGGAGGGCCACCGGAUGCAUCGUUGAUCUGCCAACUUAG
rnacentral:rRNA from 1 species